AGAAAGAGCUGGGCAAUUUCUUUCUAGGGUUUCUUGCAGCUCUCCAUCUCGCCUUUGCUGCUGAUGGCCACUGAUCAACGCGCCUCUCCAUUUCCCCUCUUGCUCCUCCUCCUUUCCUUGCUGAUCGACGUCGUCGCUGCUCUUGCUAGUCGCCGCCGUUGGCCUUUCCAGCGUUGCUUCUCCUCUCACCGUUGCUGCUUCUCUCUCUCUGGUUUAUGUUUUCUCAUUCAUUGUGAAAAUAAUGAUUCCCUGCAUAGUUCUUGUUGGCCCUAUUGGUCUUUGUUUUGGAUAUAUGAGUGCAGAAGGAAAUAACAUCCUUCCCUCUGUUAGCCUUGUUUUCUCUAGCAUGCUCAUUAUUGCUAGUGUGGAAUUCUUAUAUCUUGUGGAGCUUCGCUCGGUGUUUUUCUACAGUCAUAGUGCUUUGGAGAAGAGACUAUUGUAUGAUUCCAUUAUCAUGGAUGAGCAUUUUAAAGGACAAAGAUGUGCAUGCGGUUACUUUCUAACACCUUCUAGUUCUUCUCCCUGCUGCUGCCUGCAACAAUUAAUCUGGCCUUUGUACACAUUGCCUCUUUUACUGAUCUUUGUUUUUCAUCUCUUAUUCUUGGUGCUACUGCUGGUCUCUCAUACAGGGAAUUUUCUGCGCAUUGCCAUUUUUAACAUUAGUUACAUAAGAGGCCUUUUUCCUGAGAAAUAUUUCAAUGAUAAGUCUGUUCCUGCCUUAAAAUUAUGAACAGAGAUGAAGAUCAAAAAGCUUACACCAAUGGAUGCAAAGUUUUGCAAACUAAUUGAUUGGAUGGAGAAAGGCAUGUGUUUAUGAUGCAUUGCAGAAGAAAUACCUAAGGACACUGUUGUUCUGUGUUUGUAAAGGAGUGGAAGGUUCAAUGAUUGAGUAAUAUGCAUGUAAGAUUUUAAGAAUAGCCUAUCCCUUGGAACUAUCAAUGAUUGCCAAGAAAAUAUGCAGAAGUAACUGUUAAUGACUCUGCUCUAUGGCAAUGUGUCAUGACCCAAACCCGGCCCUAUGGGUUUAGCACCGUAACCGGCCAGUAAUCCGAGAUUGCCGAAGGCCUGCAGAACAGUAGUACAGUACAACAGAGUACAAGGCCUGGUGGAAGCCAAUACAGUAAAUGAAUAAUGUCCAUUGAGCUGUGUCAGUCUGUAUGCCAAAAAGAUUUUUCAUGUA